GAUGAACGCUGGCGGCGUGCCUAAUACAUGCAAGUCGAGCGAACGGACGAGAAGCUUGCUUCUCUGAUGUUAGCGGCGGACGGGUGAGUAACACGUGGAUAACCUACCUAUAAGACUGGGAUAACUUCGGGAAACCGGAGCUAAUACCGGAUAAUAUUUUGAACCGCAUGGUUCAAAAGUGAAAGACGGUCUUGCUGUCACUUAUAGAUGGAUCCGCGCUGCAUUAGCUAGUUGGUAAGGUAACGGCUUACCAAGGCAACGAUGCAUAGCCGACCUGAGAGGGUGAUCGGCCACACUGGAACUGAGACACGGUCCAGACUCCUACGGGAGGCAGCAGUAGGGAAUCUUCCGCAAUGGGCGAAAGCCUGGCGGAGCAACGCCGCGUGAGUGAUGAAGGUCUUCGGAUCGUAAAACUCUGUUAUUAGGGAAGAACAUAUGUGUAAGUAACUGUGCACAUCUUGACGGUACCUAAUCAGAAAGCCACGGCUAACUACGUGCCAGCAGCCGCGGUAAUACGUAGGUGGCAAGCGUUAUCCGGAAUUAUUGGGCGUAAAGCGCGCGUAGGCGGUUUUUUAAGUCUGAUGUGAAAGCCCACGGCUCAACCGUGGAGGGUCAUUGGAAACUGGAAAACUUGAGUGCAGAACAGGAAAGUGGAAUUCCAUGUGUAGCGGUGAAAUGCGCAGAGAUAUGGAGGAACACCAGUGGCGAAGGCGACUUUCUGGUCUGUAACUGACGCUGAUGUGCGAAAGCGUGGGGAUCAAACAGGAUUAGAUACCCUGGUAGUCCACGCCGUAAACGAUGAGUGCUAAGUGUUAGGGGGUUUCCGCCCCUUAGUGCUGCAGCUAACGCAUUAAGCACUCCGCCUGGGGAGUACGACCGCAAGGUUGAAACUCAAAGGAAUUGACGGGGACCCGCACAAGCGGUGGAGCAUGUGGUUUAAUUCGAAGCAACGCGAAGAACCUUACCAAAUCUUGACAUCCUUUGACAACUCUAGAGAUAGAGCCUUCCCCUUCGGGGGACAAAGUGACAGGUGGUGCAUGGUUGUCGUCAGCUCGUGUCGUGAGAUGUUGGGUUAAGUCCCGCAACGAGCGCAACCCUUAAGCUUAGUUGCCAUCAUUAAGUUGGGCACUCUAAGUUGACUGCCGGUGACAAACCGGAGGAAGGUGGGGAUGACGUCAAAUCAUCAUGCCCCUUAUGAUUUGGGCUACACACGUGCUACAAUGGACAAUACAAAGGGCAGCGAAACCGCGAGGUCAAGCAAAUCCCAUAAAGUUGUUCUCAGUUCGGAUUGUAGUCUGCAACUCGACUACAUGAAGCUGGAAUCGCUAGUAAUCGUAGAUCAGCAUGCUACGGUGAAUACGUUCCCGGGUCU
rnacentral:rRNA from 1 species